rnacentral:lncRNA from 1 species
AAAGCUAGAGCUGUCUUUUAAUUGCUGGCCAGCUCACUCCACUCCCAGGUGCUCAGCUGUAUUUCUGCAGCAAGGUAUUAGUGUAUCCUCAAAUGACAAGUAUAAGGUCAGCCACUUAGCUCACACCAGGCCCCAGAGGGUAUAGCAGAGAUUCUCAUGAGCACAUACUUCCAAGAAAAAAAUCAGCAGAUAUAAAAAGUAGCUGCAAUCUAGCAUGGCCCAAAUAAUCCAGUUAAGAUAUACUGCCCUCGGUAUGAAAAACUCUAUCCCAAGGUGGAGCAGGUGAGUUGUGGUAUGUGUUUUCCUUGUUCUGGACAAAGCAAAGCACUAGACUACAGGCGUGCACCAUCAAGCCUGGCUAAUUUUUGUAUUUUUAGUAGAGACGGGGUUUUGCCAUGUUGGCCAGGCUUGUCUCGAAUUCCUGGACUCAAGUGAUCUGCCCACCUCGGCCUCCCAAAGUGCUGGGAUUACAGGCGUGAGCCACUGAGUCUUAAAGGGUCAGUUUCUUCAUCAUAUGCAUGCAGAGACUUUUUUGUGAAAGUAUCUAAAAACUGUUCACAGAAAUGGUGCUUUGGAGUAACUCCAUCUUGCAAACAUCAUUA